AAUUCUGCUCGCUCAGGCCACCAUGGCAACAGCCUGCCUUCCCCCACUCAGGGGGUCACGCACAGCCCUGCCGGGGUGAGGCCCAGCUGCCACAUCGCCACAGGCUGCCCCUGUGGGAAAGGUCACCCCGUCUCCUCCCUGGGCAGCAACGAGAAAAGGAAAAGACAGCCCCUCUGCCCGCCUCUGGGUGACAUCUUUCACAAUCGGAUGUCAGGCAAGUGACAUGAGGCCCAGCCCAGUGGGCCUUAGAGAUAGAAAACACAUGCUGGGGCAGGGAUACACACACACACACACACACACACACACACACACACACACAGUGGGGCCGGAAUGGACAUGAACAACAACCUCUCCCCAAACUGCUGGUUGGAGCAGGACGUGGGGUGUAAACACCGUCAGGCAUCCAAUACUCCUCCUCUGGGCCUCCGGUGCCCCCACGCAGUGACGCAACCAGCCCUACACACGUGUGUGUCCCAACUCCACACCCUGCCAGGGUGCACACGCACCAGCAGGGCAGGGAGGAGUCACCCACAUCCCACCCUGCAGAACCCACUGCCUCAACCACACUCCCUCCCUCUUGGGUUGGCCUGCCUGGGAAGCCUCGGGCUGGCCACUCCUGCUCCCAAAAUAGGCGGCCCAGCCAGACCAGGGGUGAGGCCUGGAGGGAAGGAGUGGGGGACGCUCACCCCAAUCGGGCUGUCCCCUGCUGAAAGAAGGCCCCCAAACGUCCUGCUGUGCCCCGGGGGCUGAGCACUUUGGACCCCCUGGCCCAGAGCUGGACGCGCCGCCCCCAGCAGCCUCCCCUCCCAGCCCCACCCCACCCAUGCCCUCCCCAACCAGCAGCUGAAACUGGAGCUGGGGCUGGAGGGGGGCCAGGGGGCGGCCCCCAGCCCAGACUGCCCUGGCCCGCUUGGUUAACUCUCUCAGUUCAGAGAGAGCAGCAGCAGGCAGCCAGCAGGCAGGCUGGAGAGGCUAGGAGGAUUGUGGAGGACAGGGUUGUGAACACACACACACACAAACACACACGCCUCCAAGAGCUUUUGGGCUGAGGCGGCUGCCCCCUGGGAACUGGGUCCAGCCAGGGCCGAAGGUCACCCAGCCUGACUGCCCAGGAGCCCACUGACCCCCGAUCCCAGUGCUCCGUGAGGUCCUUAACAGGGCUGUUUUAGAGGACGGGAGGGAGGUGUGUGUGUGUGUGUGUGUGUGCGCGCGCAUGUGCGCUAUCUGCUGUGGUGAGAUCCCCAGAAAUGCACCACACACACACACCCACACACAAUCCCAAAGACCCAGAUAUACAGGUACAAAACCAGACAAAACCAUGUAUGUAUGUACAUCCAUAGAAGCAGACACACACAGAAUGACACACUGAUAGAGAAACCCAAAGACCCGGACACACAGCCAACACCUUUUAUGCCAGUCACAAAAUACCAGAACAAGCACAUUUAUGUCUACACAGACCCACGCACGCUCAUGUAGAUGGAUGGCCACACAGAGAUACAGUCAAAGACAUAGCCACAUCACCAUCUACACUCACAAACUGGCCACAAAAAUGCAUGUUUAUGUGAAGACCCACCCACAAAUGGCCAUACAGAAACACACAAGUAUGUGCACACCGCACAUAAAUGCAUUCUAAGAUGCAUGGCCAAACAUGGCCAGGUACGGUGGCUCACACCUGUACUCCCAGCACUUUGGGAGGCCAAGGCGGGAGGAUCACUUGAGGCCAGGAGUUCAACACCAGCCUGGCCAACCCGACGAGAGCUCGUCUCUACUAAAAAAAUAUACAAAAAUUAGCUGGGUGUGGUGGCGUGCGCCUGUAAUCACGGCUACUCCGGAGGCUGAGGCAGGAGAGUCACUUGAGCCCGGGAGGCAGAGCUUGCAGUGAGCUGAGAUCAUGCCACUGCACUCUAGCCUGGGCAACAGAGCGAGACUCUGUCUC
rnacentral:lncRNA from 1 species